UUUACGCCUGAAGUUCAGAGGAUGAGAAUCUCCGAAGGAGGUUUGAGCCGAGCGCAGCGAGACAACGUUGCUUUAGCAACGGCCCGCAGGGCGAAUCACGCAGUGAUGAGUCAUCCUCUCUCGCCGACCA
rnacentral:sRNA from 1 species